AUAUUUAUAUAUUUCUCGAUUAUAGUAUGUUGCAGGUCAUGUUAAGUCGGCCAAUAGUCCAAGAAUAGAAAAAUAGUUGAUUUAAAUUGAAUAUUUUGCUCCAUAUAUAGCGAUGCUCCAUAUGGAUGAGAAAACGAAUAACACUGAGCUGAGUACGACAAAGCAAAAAAGGUUGAACAAUUUGCUAUUCAAAUACUCUCGCUUGAGGGUUGAGGCUGAAAGAGGUUUGUCUCUGUUUCUACUGUUUGAAAUCCAAAAAGGAUCCUGCUGAUCCUUUGUUGUUACGUCACCAGGAUAAAUUGUGCGCCACAAGAUCAUUCCACUGAUAAGUGCUAACACGUCAGCGCGAAUCAUUCACCAAUUUCAUUGUUUUUUUUUAGAAAUUCGAGGCAUUUUGACGAAAUUGGGUAUGAGCACGAUCCGCUUGCAAUAACAUAAACAGGGUCAACAGUUGUUCCUCGUUAUGGUUUGGGGUGCUGCUUGAUUCCAUUCACCCAUAUUUUCCACUUUUAAAUUGUGAGGUUAUUCUGCAGCGUUUGUAACGAUGGGAGGUUGACGUACUCUGAUGACCUCUGUGUUUGGAUCUUCUGUCCAUGAUGAUUGUAAAUUGUCUCUUGGUUCUUACCGACACAACUUCUUGGCCCUUCACCAAACGGAACGAAUGAGCAAAAUGGUCUUUUCGCCAUAUUUUCCGACGUAAAUCGCUCUGGAUCAAAACGCAUUGGAUCUGGAUAAUAUUCAGGAUCGUAAUGAAUUCCCAUGUUUGUCGCCAUUAUCAGUGUUCCUUUCUCAAUGACAUUCAGUUUCGAUUCCAAAAAGGGAAGCGGAUGUUACGUCCACGGUAAAUCUACCCAAAACACUCUUAAUGUCAAUUGGUAAUUGAGACUCUGCCAUAUUUUUUAGUCUGUUGACUAAUAGUUUGGUAAUACUGUCCAUGACAUCCAUGUGGUUCCUCAAUUUGCUUGAAGAGAAGGCUGCGGGGAUUUUAGAGCGCACGUGCUUCCACUUAAUGCUUUCCAAAUUGAAGAGAUGCCCAGACAGUGGGUCGAUUUUUUCGUUAAUAUAAAAACCGUGAUUUCGAAAAUUCGAAAAAUCUGUAACCAAUAUUUUCUUAAUCAGCUUAUUAUCGAUUGGUAUGAAAACGGGUUUGCUGCCGAAAUAGGCACCUCCCAUAUCCCAACCCUUGGCUUUCAUUUCCAGAUACCAGUCGCCAAAAAGUUCUCCUAAACCCCUUUUUCCAAGAAAGAAACUUUGAGCAUUUCCAAAUGGGAUGGUUGGCUCCAGGAAAUUAAAUUUUCGUUUUUUCCAAUAAGAAAAAGUGUAUGUAGAGAAGGUUAUAGCAGUAGAGAAAAUUAUUAAGAGUAAAAUUAUGAUGAUAAUAACGAGAGCCGCUGGAACCAGUGACAUGUUUUCUGCAAAAAAAAAAACAGGCGAUUUAGUUUCCAAGCAUCUCAUGUUGGAGAUAAAUCCAGGAUUAAGUUUUUUAUAUAGUUUGUUCUUUUUAUAUAAUCAUUCAUUACGUUUCUUGCACAUAUUAAAUAUUCUACUUAACCGGCUAUUUUAAUUUUAAUUCAUGUCGAUAAAACUAGAUAUCUAGUUAAACGCCCGAAUUUUCUCGCCAAUAUUUCUCUGUUCAAAUUUUCCGAACAAUCGCGUCCCAUUAGUUGGUGUUAUGAAGUUGAAGAGUUAAAGCUUAAUCUUCAGCUCAUUGAUCAUUUAACUAUAAAUUUAAUUUAAAAACUUAUACACAAUAUAACUUCUGAAAACUUUUUUACCUUGUUCAAUGUGCUGCUCGUCAAUUUUGUGUUCUCUGUGCAACAAUUUCUUGUCUAUUUGUUUCGGCUUUCUUUGGCACCUACUACUUCAAUAUUGUGUGGUCUUCAAUCUUAGUGUGAAGUAACUUAAACUGAUUAUGUACUAAGUGCCAGACAAAUUUACAAAACACUAGGCUCUUGGCAAUUAAUAGAAUCCAUAGACAGGGUGUCCAAGUAAAGAUUGCAUUGGAGUCUAGGCUGGUGCAAAAAACUUAAUAACAGGCAAGGACCAGGUGGAAAAUGUUGUUGAGGAUAUGAAUCUUGUCUUGUGUUCUUGUUAAGUGUAUAAGUGGUAAUUUUAAUCGUUGUAAUGUACAAUUUAAAAUGAUCUAUGUGACUUGGUGGUUGAUUUAUCGUUAAACCGCUUUUACUUUUGCUGAUCCAAUUAAUUUUUGUGAGCAAAAAAAUUACAGGCAAAGACCAGGUGGAAAUUGUUGCUGAGGUUCCAACUUUAAGAAAAAAAAAGUUUAAACGUGAAAAAGACUGUGAAAAGACUUGGACGUGGAAGGGGUUUCCAAUUAAUCUAAUGUAGAUGCAAUUUAGGGGUUGAUAACUGUUUUUUUGCAAUUAGCCGCGAAUCGUGUCUUCCAAGCGGAAAACGUUCAAUACAAAACUUAAUCGUCAAAAAACUAAAGUACAUUUUCCGCAUGUUUCGCGCUACUUACUGUAAUAAAAUUCUUUCAAUUGUAAUAAUAUUUUAUCAAAGCAAGUCAUAUUACUAGAAUAUACUCCACUGCUGUGAUAAUAGAAAUAAUGUAGAAAAUCGACAAUUAUUGAAAAUAUUGAAUAAAUCAUGAUUCCGAAAGACUGUCGCAGACAUUCUUGCAACAAACGAAUGUUAAACACACCCUGAAUACCGCAUUUGAAAAUAAAACCCAUCAAAACUGUUGAUCCUCCGAAAUAAUUUUUGAAGUGCCCGAACAGGCGGACAAGGGAAGAAAUUUGACUCAGUAGUCCGCUACUGGUCUUUAUCUAUGGUGGGUAGUCCGCACCCGAAAAUCGUACGCGAAGCAUCGCUCCCACAGGCCCUUGCGUGCACCCUCUCCUUUUUUAUGGUAUAUCCGGUGUCUAAGUUGGCAAGGGCCCCUAUAGUAAAUUAUGGGUUGAUUGUUCAAUAAAGGACGCAGUACCUCAGUGAUUGGAAUAACAACUCGUCAUACAAACCACAACCCCGACCUCCUAAAGGUCUUUUUAACUAAAAAUUUGCAAUGUUUGAAGCUCAACCGGUCUAGUUGUCCAGGACCAACUUAAAAAACGGCAUACCAACAGACUUCUAAGGGGGCUGACAGGCUCCAAAAACAGUAAGUUUUAAACUUAAUUCUCUUUUUGGAGGCCAAUAUUUCACCGUCAAGGACUAACGGUAGUGGUGCAUGUGCAACCAGUGCGUUCUUUUGUGUCAAUUUGUAACACUUAAAGACUAAUUUUGACACUUUUUGUUUUAUUGAAAGUUAGUUUAAAUAGACUAAACAAUACUUUUUCGUUUUCAUUAUUUGUCAUAUCCAUUCUUAGUUUUAAGUUAAAGAUAAGUUGCUUUUUGUAAAUUAGAUGUAGGAAACAUUGUAGGUUUAGAGAUUUAUUGUGUAAUUAAAUGUUUCAAAGCAGA